ACGGGAGGCAGCAGUGGGGAAUAUUGGGCAAUGGGGGCAACCCUGACCCAGCAACGCCGCGUGAAGGAAGAAGGCUUUCGGGUUGUAAACUUCUUUUACCAGGGACGAAGAAAGUGACGGUACCCGGAGAAAAAGCUACGGCUAACUACGUGCCAGCAGCCGCGGUAAUACGUAGGUAGCAAGCGUUGUCCGGAUUUACUGGGUGUAAAGGGCGUGUAGGCGGAGAUGCAAGUCAGGAGUGAAAUCUAUGGGCUUAACCCAUAAACUGCUUUUGAAACUGCAUCCCUUGAGUAUCGGAGAGGCAGGCGGAAUUCCUAGUGUAGCGGUGAAAUGCGUAGAUAUUAGGAGGAACACCAGUGGCGAAGGCGGCCUGCUGGACGACAACUGACGCUGAGGCGCGAAAGCGUGGGGAGCAAACAGGAUUAGAUACCCUGGUA
rnacentral:rRNA from 1 species